rnacentral:rRNA from 1 species
UGCAAGCGUUACUCGGAAUCACUGGGCGUAAAGGGCGCGUAGGCGGAUUAUCAAGUCUCUUGUGAAAUCUAAUGGCUUAACCAUUAAACUGCUUGGGAAACUGAUAGUCUAGAGUGAGGGAGAGGCAGAUGGAAUUGGUGGUGUAGGGGUAAAAUCCGUAGAUAUCACCAAGAAUACCCAUUGCGAAGGCGAUCUGCUGGAACUCAACUGACGCUAAGGCGCGAAAGCGUGGGGAGCAAACAGGAUUAGAUACCCUGGUAGUCCACGCCCUAAACGAUGUACACUAGUUGUUGGGGUGCUAGUCAUCUCAGUAAUGCAGCUAACGCAUUAAGUGUACCGCCUGGGGAGUACGGUCGCAAGAUUAAAACUCAAAGGAAUAGACGGGGACCCGCACAAGCGGUGGAGCAUGUGGUUUAAUUCGAAGAUACGCGAAGAACCUUACCUGGGCUUGAUAUCCUAAGAACCUUAUAGAGAUAUGAGGGUGCUAGCUUGCUAGAACUUAGAGACAGGUGCUGCACGGCUGUCGUCAGCUCGUGUCGUGAGAUGUUGGGUUAAGUCCCGCAACGAGCGCAACCCACGUAUUUAGUUGCUAACGGUUCGGCCGAGCACUCUAAAUAGACUGCCUUCGUAAGGAGGAGGAAGGUGUGGACGACGUCAAGUCAUCAUGGCCCUUAUGCCCAGGGCGACACACGUGCUACAAUGGCAUAUACAAUGAGACGCAAUACCGCGAGGUGGAGCAAAUCUAUAAAAUAUGUCCCAGUUCGGAUUGUUCUCUGCAACUUCGGAGGAGCCAAUGGAAGC